UGUGUGUGUGUGUGUGUGUGUGUGUGUGUGUGUGUGUGUGUGUGUGUGUGUGUGUGUGCACAUUUCCCUGUAAGGACCAGGACGGUACAUUCAUUCAAGGUUAGAAGUGGAUAUAUACAAUGGAUCUGAAAGUUCAAUCUUCAUAAUUCAAAAAUAUAAUUAAUUAUCAUUAUCAUUUGUCUCACAUAUUGCUCUUCAUCUUUUCUCGAUUUUUCUUUUCAUCCCUAGAACUGAUAGCUAUUUUGCACGUCCUGUAAAAAUGAUUAAUGGAAAUGGAAGCACUGCAUUGCUCCCUGGGAGGUUCUACAUAAAUGUACUGAGAAAACCUUAUACGCUGCGUCAGGACUUUCGUUGGGCUUGUUAUUUAACUGGGCAUUCUGUUUGUGAUAUUCUCUUAAAACAUGUUUUCUAACAAAUAUACAGUGUCUGUGUGUAUAUUGAUUGUUGUUGCUCUAAAGGAUUUAUUUAAUGAAUAUACACGUUAU